rnacentral:rRNA from 1 species
GACGAACGCUGGCGGCGUGCUUAACACAUGCAAGUCGAACGCUGAAGCUCAGCUUUUGUUGGGUGGAUGAGUGGCGAACGGGUGAGUAACACGUGAGUAACCUGCCUCCUUCUUUGGGAUAACGCCCGGAAACGGGUGCUAAUACUGGAUAUUCACUGGUCUUCGCAUGGGGGUUGGUGGAAAGGGUUUUUCUGGUGGGGGAUGGGCUCGCGGCCUAUCAGCUUGUUGGUGGGGUGAUGGCCUACCAAGGCUUUGACGGGUAGCCGGCCUGAGAGGGUGACCGGUCACAUUGGGACUGAGAUACGGCCCAGACUCCUACGGGAGGCAGCAGUGGGGAAUAUUGCACAAUGGGCGCAAGCCUGAUGCAGCGACGCCGCGUGAGGGAUGGAGGCCUUCGGGUUGUGAACCUCUUUCGCUCAUGGUCAAGCCGCAACAAUGGUUGUGGUGAGGGCAGUGGGUAAAGAAGCGCCGGCUAACUACGU